CCCUUAGAUGUUCUGGGCCGCACGCGCGCUACACUGAUGCAUUCAACGAGUCUAAAACCUGCUCUGAUAGGGGUGGGUAAUCUUUUGAAUGUGCAUCGUGAUUGGGAUAGAUGAUCGCAAUUUUUCAUCUUCAACGAGGAAUGCCUAGUAAACGCAAGUCAUCAGCUUGCAUUGAUUACGUCCCUGCCCUUUGUACACACCGCCCGUCGCUCCUACCGAUUGAAUGAUCCGAUGAAUAUCAUGGAUUGAGGAUUAUAGCAGGUUCGCCUGUCUUGAUCUUCGAGAAGUGAAGUAAAUCUUAUCAUUUAGAGGAAGGAGAAGUCGUAACA
rnacentral:rRNA from 1 species